rnacentral:tRNA from 1 species
GCGGAUGUGGUGGAAUUGGUAGACACGCACGUUUGAGGGGCGUGUGGCUUAAGCCUUGCGAGUUCGAGUCUCGCCAUCCGCA